AGGUUAAAAUUUUAAAUAAUUAAAAGUUUGUAUGCAAAUAUAGGCUUAUCCCUUUUUCUUUUUAUCUAAGAAUUAUGGCACAAAAUUAAGAAGUUUUGUUGUAAGAGUACUAAUUCUUAUUGUUUAAUACCUAUGCUAAUGACUGGAGUGAUGGAAUAGAUUAAUUUUACACACACACACACACAUACACAUUUUCAGUGAACUUUAUCUUACUGUCUCACCACUCACCAAACUGGAGCAAAUAUCCACAAUAAGAACACUUUACUGUUUAUAUAACUUGCCAUUUAGUAUUUAUUUCCAGUAUCAAUUGUGACUUAAAACAAAUUAACAUAAUUCAUUAUCUUAUGAUUUCCAGUUUGAUUAAACAAAUGGUCCAUGCGCAUACUUAAUGGGAUGAUUGCACUCUACAUCUCUCUAGAUCUCCAUUAAAAGACAAGCUGCAAACUCAGUGGUUAAGACCACCGGCUGACAUCUCUCUGUGUCCAGAUCAGAUGUUUUGAAUAAGUGUGGCUGGACAAUGCGAUAUUCUAAACCCGCAAACUGAGUAAUUGAAGAAUUUCAGAGAUGCAACCAGACAUGGGGUAGCUGGCCUCAGUGGAGGUUUAGAAGGCAGCCAUUCAAGCACCUAAAGAAAGACAACAGAUGAAAGCUGGCAGCCUCUUCAUUUACAGACAGUACACUUUUCUGAAUUUAGCAAGGCUUCCCCUCCCCCCAGAGCCUUCCAUGUCCAUUUAUGAACUAUAAGAAGGAUUCAGUAUGUGUCAUCAUUUUCAUAAAAGGAAGGAAAUCAGCAAAGUAGCCCAACUCUCUGGGGAAGAUGCAAUGUCAACAAUUAGGAAGAAAGAAGAAUUGGAGCUUAUAAUCAGACAAAUUCCAGCUACAUGUAUUGAGGAAAGAAAUUUCUUAUGACUAAGAAAGGCUUUCUGAGGCUGCACUGAAGAAAUAGGACGGAAUUCAUAACUGUGACUUCCAGAGUAAUAUUCUGUUUCAUAGGAAGAUACAAAUAAAUGGCCGAUUUUCUGUCUAGCUGUGUGAUAGGAUGACAAUCUUUUCGCUUGGCUUUUCCAUCUAAAAAAUGGCUAUACCAUGAAUAUUAUCUUUCUUUGUGUGAAU
rnacentral:lncRNA from 1 species